CCUACGGGAGGCAGCAGUGAGGAAUAUUGGUCAAUGGACGAGAGUCUGAACCAGCCAAGUAGCGUGAAGGAUGACUGCCCUAUGGGUUGUAAACUUCUUUUAUAUGGGAAUAAAAUGUUCCACGUGUGGGAUUUUGUAUGUACCAUAUGAAUAAGGAUCGGCUAACUCCGUGCCAGCCGCCGCGGUAAUACGGAGGAUCCGAGCGUUAUCCGGAUUUAUUGGGUUUAAAGGGAGCGUAGGUGGAUUGUUAAGUCAGUUGUGAAAGUUUGCGGCUCAACCGUAAAAUUGCAGUUGAAACUGGCAGUCUUGAGUACAGUAGAGGUGGGCGGAAUUCGUGGUGUAGCGGUGAAAUGCUUAGAUAUCACGAAGAACUCCGAUUGCGAAGGCAGCUCACUGGACUGCAACUGACACUGAGGCUCGAAAGUGUGGGUAUCAAACAGGAUUAGAUACCCUGGUAGUC
rnacentral:rRNA from 1 species